UACGUAGGGGGCAAGCGUUGUCCGGAAUUAUUGGGCGUAAAGGGCUCGUAGGCGGUUUGUCGCGUCGGGAGUGAAAACAUCCAGCUUAACUGGGUGCUUGCUUUCGAUACGGGCAGACUUGAGGUAUGCAGGGGAGAAUGGAAUUCCUGGUGUAGCGGUGAAAUGCGCAGAUAUCAGGAGGAACACCGGUGGCGAAGGCGGUUCUCUGGGCAUUACCUGACGCUGAGGAGCGAAAGUGUGGGGAGCGAACAGG
rnacentral:rRNA from 1 species